UACGGAGGGUGCGAGCGUUGUCCGGAAUCACUGGGCGUAAAGGGCGCGUAGGCGGCCUGAUAAGUAGGGGGUGAAAUCCUGCGGCUUAACCGCAGGGCUGCCUUCUAAACUGUCAGGCUAGAGCACAGUAGAGGCAGGUGGAAUUCCCGGUGUAGCGGUGGAAUGCGUAGAGAUCGGGAAGAACAUCAGUGGCGAAGGCGGCCUGCUGGGCUGUUGCUGACGCUGAGGCGCGACAGCGGUGGGGAGCAAACAGG
rnacentral:rRNA from 1 species